AAUGAACGCUGGCGGCGUGCAUAACACAUGCAAGUCGAACGAGAAACCCCGGGCUUGCUCGGGGGAGUAAAGUGGCGCACGGGUGAGUAACGCGUGGGUAACCUACCCCUGAAUCUGGAAUAACCCGCCGAAAGGCGGACUAAUACCGGAUAUUGUCUCGGAGACGCAUGUCUUCGGGAUGAAAGGUGACCUCUUCACGAAAGUUGUCGUUUAGGGAGGGGCUCGCGUACCAUUAGCUAGUUGGUAGGGUAAUGGCCUACCAAGGCAACGAUGGUUAGCUGGUCUGAGAGGAUGAUCAGCCACACUGGAACUGGAACACGGUCCAGACUCCUACGGGAGGCUG
rnacentral:rRNA from 1 species